AGCGAACGCUGGCGGCGUGCUUAACACAUGCAAGUCGAGCGGUAGGGCCUUUCGGGGUACACGAGCGGCGAACGGGUGAGUAACACGGGGGUGAUCUGCCCUGCACUCUGGGAUAAGCCUGGGAAACUGGGUCUAAUACUGGAUAUGACCUCAGCAUGCAUGUGCUGGGGUGGAAAGCUUUUGUGGUGCAGGAUGGGCCCGCGGCCUAUCAGCUUGUUGGUGGGGCAAUGGCCUACCAAGGCGACGACGGGUAGCCGACCUGAGAGGGUGACCGGCCACACUGGGACUGAGACACGGCCCAGACUCCUACGGGAGGCAGCAGUGGGGAAUAUUGCACAAUGGGCGGAAGCCUGAUGCAGCGACGCCGCGUGAGGGAUGAAGGCCUUCGGGUUGUAAACCUCUUUCAGCAGGGACGAAGCGUGAGUGACGGUACCUGCAGAAGAAGCACCGGCUAACUACGUGCCAGCCGCCGCGGUAAGAC
rnacentral:rRNA from 1 species